rnacentral:rRNA from 1 species
GAUGAACGCUAGCUACAGGCUUAACACAUGCAAGUCGAGGGGUAACGAGAGGAAAGCUUGCUUUCCUUGUCGACGACCGGCGCACGGGUGAGUAACGCGUAUCCAACCUGCCCCCAACUAAGGAAUAACCUUGCGAAAGUAAGACUAAUACCUUAUAAUUUCCUCAGAUGUCAUCUGACGAGGAAUAAAGAUUUAUCGGUUGUGGAUGGGGAUGCGUCUGAUUAGCUUGUUGGCGGGGUAACGGCUCACCAAGGCAACGAUCAGUAGGGGUUCUGAGAGGAAGGUCCCCCACAUUGGAACUGAGACACGGUCCAAACUCCUACGGGAGGCAGCAGUGAGGAAUAUUGGUCAAUGGGCGAAAGCCUGAACCCGCCAAGUAGCGUGCAGGAUGACGGCCCUAUGGGUUGUGAACUGCUUUUAUACAGGAAUAAAGUUAGCCACGUGUGGUUAUUUGUAGGUACUGUAUGAAUAAGGACCGGCUAAUUCCGUGCCAGCCGCCGCAGUAA